CCUACGGGCGGCAGCAGUGGGGAAUAUUGCACAAUGGGGGAAACCCUGAUGCAGCGACGCCGCGUGAGUGAAGAAGUAUUUCGGUAUGUAAAGCCCUAUCAGCAGGGAAGAAAAUGACGGUACCUGAGUAAGAAGCCGCGGCUAACUACGUGCCAGCAGCCGCGGUAAUACGUAGGGGGCAAGCGUUAUCCGGAUUUACUGGGUGUAAAGGGGGCGUAGACGGCAGCACAAGUCUGCAGUGAAAGGCGGGGGGUCAACCCCGGAACUGCCUUGGAAACUGGGUAGCUCGAGUGAAGGAGGGGUAUGCGGAAUGCCUAGUGUAGCGGUGAAAUGCGUAGAUAUUAGGAGGAACUCCAGUGGCGAAGGCGGCAUACCGGA
rnacentral:rRNA from 1 species